rnacentral:rRNA from 1 species
CCUACGGGAGGCAGCAGUGGGGAAUAUUGGACAAUGGGCGAAAGCCUGAUCCAGCAAUGCCGCGUGAGUGAUGAAGGCCUUAGGGUUGUAAAGCUCUUUUACCAGGGAUGAUAAUGACAGUACCUGGAGAAUAAGCUCCGGCUAACUCCGUGCCAGCAGCCGCGGUAAUACGGAGGGAGCUAGCGUUGUUCGGAAUUACUGGGCGUAAAGCGUACGUAGGCGGUUAUUCAAGUCAGAGGUGAAAGCCUGGAGCUCAACUCCAGAACUGCCUUUGAAACUAGAUAGCUAGAAUCUUGGAGAGGUGAGUGGAAUUCCGAGUGUAGAGGUGAAAUUCGUAGAUAUUCGGAAGAACACCAGUGGCGAAGGCGACUCACUGGACAAGUAUUGACGCUGAGGUACGAAAGCGUGGGGAGCAAACAGGAUUAGAUACCCUGGUAGUCCACGCCGUAAACGAUGAUAACUAGCUGUUCGGGCUCUACGAGCUUGAGUGGCGCAGCUAACGCAUUAAGUUAUCCGCCUGGGGAGUACGGUCGCAAGAUUAAAACUUAAAAUAGUUAAGUUAGUAGG